AUGUCACUAAUCAAGUGUACAACAGAUAUGCUAAAAUAUGAAGUAGAUAUGGAAGACAAAGAAAUGCAACAGGCAAAAUGUUGCGUACUAGAAGAGUUUCCGCCAACUCCCGGGCCAAAAGAACAUAUUAUGCAUGCGACAACCACACAAGAGCAUGAAGUUAUUGAUAUAUCCAGUAAACGCAAAGAUAUUAUGGAUGUCAGCAGCCACGCCGUCGCCCAACAAUCUUGCACAGACCACGAACAAAAUGAUCCACCAAUAGAACCAGAUCAACCACCACCAGACGACAAGAUACCACACGAUGCCAAAGAGGAAACAGACGAGCAAAAUAUCAACAGCGAUAUCACGACCACAGAGCAACUGGAACAAACAAGCACUGAUUUAAAAGAGGAUGACAGAAGCAACAACGUACCAAAUACACAACAACAGGUUUACGAGCAGAAGAAACAGCAUGUUCUUCUUCAAGAAGAAACAGGCUCGACAAGCAAUCAGCAAGGCACCUCCAGCACCAUCUCUUUAGACUUCCUAAAACCAAAAACAAUGGAAACGCAGGAAGAAGUUGAUGAAUUUCUUUCAAGCCUUAACCCGCUACAACUAGACGAAUACAACGAACAUGUAAAGAAGGGCUCUAACUUCGAUUUAAUCAAAACGUGGCUGACCGAGCAUGAAAGCUAUGAAUUCAACAAAAAUCCCAAGCUCUAUCUGGCAAUCUUGCAGCAAGAGUUAGGAGAACGUUCAAUGCCUCAAUCAUCCGAGAACAGCCCAGACAAGAAAAUCUCGAUCAAGAAAAGGCCGGUAAAGCCUUCAAGAAGGCUCCUUGGAGAAAUCAUGAUUCCUGCUUUUGUCCCAGGAGAUUUCAAAUUUAUGAACAAAGCCAGAGCACUCCAUGAAUACCUAUUCGGCAAAGAAGGACAAGAUGAAUGCGGAGAGUAA
rnacentral:rRNA from 1 species